UACCAAACGGAACACUUGGAUUCCAUCUC
rnacentral:piRNA from 1 species